GGAUUCCCUUAGUAACGGCGAGUGAACAGGGAAGAGCCCAGCACCGAAGCCUGUGGCCAGUUGGUCACUAGGCAAUGUGGUGUUCAGGUCAUCUCGCAGUGGUACUGCUUCACCCUAAGUCCAGAAAUGAGUACGGCAUAUGGACAUGGCCCAAGGAGGGUGAAAGGCCCGUGGGGGUGAAGAAGCAGUUCAGACAGUGCCACUCUGAGUAGACCUUGGAGUCGGGUUGUUUGUGAAUGCAGCCCAAAGUGGGUGGUAAACUCCAUCCAAGGCUAAAUACUUACACGAGUCCGAUAGCGAACAAGUACCGUGAGGGAAAGUUGAAAAGUACUUUGAAGAGAGAGUAAACAGUGCGUGAAACCGCUCAGAGGUAAACAGGUGGAGUUGAACUGCAAGCAUUGAGAAUUCAGCUGGUGAACGUGAUAUGAGCUUGGAUAUAAUGGUUGUCCUUCGGGGUCUGUUUAACCGCAGGUCUUUGCCGUUCGGCGGAGAUUCACGAUGCACUUAUCAAGUGCUGUGAGCCUUGUUGGUAUCGAGCCUGUUCGCCAGUGCACUUUCUCAUUGUGGUCACCACGACCGGCGCUGCUGUCUGGCUGUUGUGGUCAAACCGGCAUGUCUUAGUUCUUGUAGCUUUGGUAUGUCGGCGUGGCAGGUAACUCGUUGGCUCGCGUGUGAGUUUCGGCUUGUGCGCGUUCGGUCUUCGAGUGUAACUAGCUGGCUACAUCGGUUCUGUGCAGUGUGUCGGAGACGGCGGCUUCUGGUGUGUACAUGUGUGCUUAGUCUUUCAGUGGGUUCGUGUCUGGCUGCUUGUUGCCUGUAUUUGCAGGCCCUGUGGCGGCACGGAUUCAUCUGUUGGGCGGCUGCACGUGUGUUACCGAAUCAGGGCCUACAGUCUGUGGUGUAGUGGUAGACUAUCCACCUGACCCGUCUUGAAACACGGACCAAGGAGAGUAACAUGUGCGCGAGUCAUUGGGCGUUACGAAACCCAAAGGCGAAGUGAAAGUAAAUGUUCGACUUGUUCGAAUUGAGGUGAGAUCCUGUCGUUUCUCAUGCGCGGUACCACCAAGCUGCGAGCGGCAGGCGCAUCACCGGCCCGUCUCAUAACGUGAGUGUGAUUUUCGAAUUGUAUGUCGUUGGGGCGGAGCAUGAGCGCACAUGUUGAGACCCGAAAGAUGGUGAACUAUGCUUGCGCAGGUUGAAGCCAGAGGAAACUCUGGUGGAGGACCGCAGCGAUUCUGACGUGCAAAUCGAUCGUCAAACGUGAGUAUAGGGGCGAAAGACUAAUCGAACCAUCUAGUAGCUGGUUCCCUCCGAAGUUUCCCUCAGGAUAGCUGGCAUUCUGAGAAAUAAACAGUUUUAUCCGGUAAAGCGAAUGAUUAGAGGCAUUGGGGACGAAACGUUCUCAACCUAUUCUCAAACUUCCAAUGGGUGAGAAGCUUAACUCGCUUAAACGGAGUUAGGCGUUGAAUGUGAGUGCCAAGUGGGCCAUUUUUGGUAAGCAGAACUGGCGCUGUGGGAUGAACCAAACGUUCGGCUAAGGUGCCUAACACAACGCUCAUCAGAUACCACAAAAGGUGU
rnacentral:rRNA from 1 species